rnacentral:rRNA from 1 species
AUUGAACGCUGGCUACAGGCCUAACACAUGCAAGUCGAGCGGGCGGCGGACGGGUGCGUAAUUUAUGGGGACUGACCGAUAGAGGGGGCUCACUACUGGAAACGGUAGCUAGUCCCGCAUCCUAUCGGCUAACCCAUAUGGGGUUAGCUAGUAGGUGAGGUAAUGGAUCACCUAGGCGACGAUCCCUAGCUGGUGUGGGAGGAUGAUAAGGCACACCAGGACGGAGACACGGCCCGGACGCUAACGGAGGUGGCAGAGGGGAAUAUGGCACAAUGGGCGAAAGGUUGAUGUAGACAUGCCGCGUGGAUGAAGAAGGGCCGGGGGUUUUAAAGUACUUUCAGUCGGGAAGAGGUAUCGACAGAAGAAGCACCGGCUAACUCCGUGCCAGCAGCCGCGGUAAUUC